UUUUUUUCACCUUAUUGACUUUCCUAUCUUCACAACAUAGAACCAUAAAAAAUCAAUCUCUCGUCACAACAUAUUCACCAUUCACUCAAUUUCCUUUACCUUCCACGAUCUCUCUUCACACAAAAAAAGAUAAAAACAAUAUAAACAUAGUAAUAUAACACAUCAUAAACACAUAUGCACUCACUGCUUCUUCCGCCGUUUUUUCAUAUUCUUUC
rnacentral:lncRNA from 1 species